AAAAAACGACUAAACUCACAUUUUCCCUCUAGUCGCCGUUACCCUCAAGCCUUUCUUCCACUUAGUCGCCGCUGCCCUCUUCCCUCAAAUUGAGGAUGCAAACUAUUGCAAACUGACCUCGUUAUCUCAGUGGCGGAGCUCAAUACAUCGACUGGAACAAGAUUUAGACUUCGAUUGAUGAAGUAGUUGUUCCAUACGAUACUCUAGCUUCUUCUCCAGUUCUCCUGUUGAUAUCUCGGAAACGAAGAAUAUGUUGGACGAACUUGUUGUGUUGAAGCUUAAUGGAGGUUUGGGGAUGACAAUGGGUUGUAUUGGUUCCAAGUAAUAUACUUGGCCACUUUUUUUCGGUUGAUAUUGAUUAAGAAGCUUCUGUAACUUGCACUGUCUAGAAACUAGAGGUCAUUGCUGUAACUAUUUCUAUUGAAGAGGAUUUUUUUUUUUUAAUGGAAUCCAUUGAAGAUCAUAAUACAUUUCAGCUCCCCUCUGUUUCUGAUCUGCAUGACAUCUUUUUAUUGAUUUGGACAUCUGUGUUUUGCUAUAGUGGUGCAAAUUAGUUGAUAAUCA